UAUCUCGUUCUCAGGACACGACGGAUGGAACUAGCUACGAGUGCCAAACCUCGAGUUUCCUCGCGGUGGCCCCGCAGGCAGACCGUUUGGGACCAACACCAUCAGCACUGGCCCCCCUUUUUAUGUAAAAUUACUCCUCGGGUAGCGCUAACUCCCUAUGCCAUUCAUUAUUAUCAAAAUUAUUAUGUUGGGCAAAUGUAAAACCAAUGUUGGGCCUUGCCAGACCAGCUUUAAUCUAAAACGAAUUAUCAAGGGGGUUCCCAUAACAACCCCGAUCGUGUUAGGAGCGCUCAAUUAUGGAACAUAACACCGGUAGCCGAAAACUAAGGGGGCAAAGGUGGAACAAAACACCAGGCUAGAAAGGCCGAGCCUUCCACCUUUUACCAAGUAUAUAGGUGCAUUAAAUUAAAUAGCAUCUAAUAUGGUGAUAUAACAAGGAACCCAUGCUUUCACAUGGAAGCAUCUGCACCUGCAACUAGCAACGCUAACAACAUGGAUAAGCAAGCGGUAACAUAGCCAAUCAGUGGUUUGCUAGGUCGAACAGGUUGAAGGUUAUCAUGGCAUUGUUGAGAGGCUGGUAUUUAACAUGUGGUAGGCAACGAGACAUAAUCGAUAGAUGCGAUAAAACUAGCAUGGCAAUGAUAGUAAUGGUAUCUGGGGAAAUGAUCAUCUUGCCUGAGAUCCCGCUUGGAAGAAGAAUGCCUCCGUGAAGCAGACGAACUGACGUAGUCGAACGGGUCCUCACAAUCCGGCACGUUGCGGAACUCUAUCGAGACGAAGCAAACCGGAAACACAAAUCAACACACGGAAUUCACCACACGAUGCACAACACAAAUGAUGCAUGAGCAGCUGAAUACAUGCAAGUCACGGCAUGACAAUUUCAGACAAUCAAAACUACACAUUAAGUGAAGUUCAAUAUGCGACGAUUUGCAUAUUGACGAAACUUCACAUAUGAAUUAUUUAGUUCACUCCCGGUUAUUUACACGGUAAUAUUAAUGUUGUCAAACAUGCGAGAGGUGAAGCGGAAAUUAAACUACCUACCUAGACAUUUUAAAUGAGGUCGGAAACGACAUAUAGCAUCUCCGGGACGACCUCACAUGUUAAUUUACAAUUCUGUCCAGAUCUGAAUUAACACAUUUAAUUAGUUGUUAAACAGCAAAACAAAUAGGUUCACGCGAUUCUACGCGUCAUUUCAAGCAAUUUACACAUAAAGAACAUCUCCAACGGAGCUACGGUUCAACAACUACGAGCAAAACAAGAAAUCACUACAAUAUGCCAAAAUCAGCCACAUAGCAUUUUCUCCGCGCCACAACUACGGGCUGCACAACUCCGUUAAACUCAUACAAGGCAUGGCACGGAAGAGGGCAAUAAGCACUACUACAAACAACUCACAACAACUAGAAUGGCAUCAUGGAUCACUAGGGAAAGAAGACACAAAAAUGGCUUCCCACACACUAUUUCAGACUUAGUGAAAAUAACACUUCAUGAAAUGCAGUUUUCGAUCUGAAGCAAUAUUGACAGCAGCAAAACCUGUAGCUACGGGACUCCAAAUGGCAUGAACAUCUACAGAAUGCUUGAGAAACACAAGGGGUACAACUAACUCCAUUGGACCAACCUCAAAAGAGCUACAGAUCAACAGUUAGAAGCAAGACAAGACAGCAACAAAAUAUAACAGAUUCCAGACUUACAAAUAUUUCAGCUCCUCUAAAACAGCACUAUUUCUAGCAACUUGAGAGCAAGCAAAACACACCUAAACAUGCAUUUCUAUUGCAACUAAAAAAUACCAGGGGCUAGUCUAAACAUCCAAGAACAACUCCCUAGUUGACAACCCCGUCAAACGAAGAACGGAUUAAAUCCUACGAAUUAAACAAAAGGGCAACAUAGCAAAAUAUCUCGCGAACUAACCUUCUCUAAUGCUAAAACUAAUUGCAUAGAAAAAUCCAUGGGAUUUUCCUACCCAGAAAACAUAUAAAAUAUGUGGGGUUGCACAACAAAAUAAUGGCACACGAAAAUGCGGGAAAGAUAACCUAUAUACGGGAAAAUAAACUACCGGCAAUCCAUACAUGCAAAAAUACCUAUGACCGCUCUAAAAUAAAUAGAAAAAUGAUCCCUAAAACAUGGACAUUUAAUCUACGGUAUACGGGCAGUCCGGACACGCGUGAAAAAUAAUCACGAGCACUAAUCUAAUGGGACAACAUGUUACUCUAGGCAAACAGUGGGUCAAACCUCAUCAAGCAUUUAUGCAAGUUGCAAAAACGAAUACUACGCGAAAUUCUACACCAAAUCGAUAUAAAGAUCACCUCGAUCCGACUUACGGAAUAUAACAUACGUACGUUUAAAAAUAUGGCAUUUUUCUGGAAACGGAAUAAAUCGCAAGAAAAAUAAAUAAAUACCUAAAGCCUAAAUGGGCCGAAAGCGCAGGCGCAUGAAAGCUAAAAGAUGCCCAGGGCGUUGGAUAGGGCACGGGUUAACUCACCUAGGGCCAUCGGGCCAUGAGAGGAGGCAGGCCGGUGCUGGGCGACUGGGCCGAGGCGCCGCGAGGCGGUGGGAGGCCUGCGGGGCAACUGGGCCAACUGGGCCGAGGCGACAGCCGGCUGGGCCACAUCGGCGCUGGCGCGGCAGGCCCAGGUGGCGGGGCGAGCGGGGCCGGCUGCCUCGGCAGCGCCACCUCGAACCGUCCUGUGCUCGAGCCUCAGCCAUGGUGGCCGGCUCGGCGAGCAGGAGGUGAGGCCGGGGCGAGGAUCCAGCAGGGGGGCCGGGGAUCGUGGGACCCGGCGAGAUCUGGCACGGCGGCGGUCGGCUCGCCGAAUCCGGUCGAUCUCAAGGCGUUGCGGGGCUCCGGCAGCGAACACGGGCACCAGCGAGAGGCGGCGCUUCGAGAGGACGGUGGGGCUGCGGGAGCCGGCGAACGGCGGCGCGGUGCUGCCGGCGGCGGGCACGGGGAAGCUCGGGGCGCGGGAGGAUGCUUCGGUGGGGCUCCAGCUGUGGGAGUUUGGCAAGAGCAGGGCCGGGGGCGAGCUCGAGGCUGCCAUGGAGGCGCUCGGGAGGAGGAGGCUCAGGCAGGGAGAAUGGGGCGGCGGCCGGAUGGGCUUCGGGUGGGCCGCGUGCGGGCUCGGGCGGGCCCGGCGGCUGGGGGGACGAGAGAGAGGUGGGAGGCUAGGGUUUGGUGGGGGCUGCACGGAAAACGAGGAGGAGAUAGUGGUAGGCUGCCUUAAAAAUAGGAGGGGUAUAUAUAGACAAACGGGGGGGCUAGGUUAGCCGGAAUUUCGUUUCGGAUCCAAUCGUGCGGUCGGAUUCGGACGAUUCUGAACACAGGUAUGGGUACGCGGCCGUGUAGAGGGGAUAUCCGGAGAUGAGACGGGAAAUGGGCGGCGCGGCAACGAUUUUUAAAACACCGACAAACGUCCGACGGUAGACCAAAGACGGUGCCGCUACGGACGACCGUUCGGGUACCAGACGAACUCCGAUCGCGCCGAAAUUCGACAGGCGGUUUCACUAAAACAAAUUACGACCACAUGCCAAGUUUCAUCUCGAUCGGAGAAACUUUAACGCACACUUUUAAAACAGGGUUUCGACGAUGCCGCGGGCGCGCGCGUGUGCGGUCGGGCUUAGAACGGACAACGACGCGAACCGGCAACUAACAACGGAUGCAACUUUUUGAAAAAUGGCGGCAACGGGAUGCCGAUGCAAUGCUGAUGAUGCGCAUGAUGCGAUGAUGAUGCAACAAAUUAAAAUAACCACACGACGAAAACGGAAUAGAAGGGGAAUCUUCUGGAACGUCGGCAUCGGGCUGUCACAACUCUGCUACACUACAAGAGGAUCUCGCCCCGAGAUCCAAGACUGAAAGGGGGAGAGGAUGAGAAAGAACAUGAGGUAAAACUUAGUCGCUUCUUUGACAAACGAGUGAAACCAAUGAUCCUUGAAGGUUGCAAAGAGAUGAGUAGUGACAUGGGAAAGAAGCAAGAAUUCACGGAAAAUUUCAGCAGCACUUCAGUAGGAAAAUGGGACAAAAAAAUCGAUACGAAGAGAGAAUUAGACAAUAUUCACAACAAACAAGUAAAUAGAGCACGGGAACACCAUGAUCUUGAUAGAACAACAUGAUUGACCCAAAAGAGCACAACACAAUGCCUCCACAACAAGAGAAUAAGAACUAACUCAUACGGAAGAAGAGAAUGAAGAAAAGAAUGACAACUACUAUCUCCAAUGAACUUGACAAGCACCCUUGCAAGGAGAAUUGAACGAAGUUGUUGGAAACAACAACGACAAGAACAAGAUAGUAGUGGGCUUAUGGAGACCUUUCAAACUAAUGAAGUGAGAACCAGCCAUUAAGAGAAACAAGGAUUGUUUGGGAGAAGCAAGAUAUGAACAAUUCUUACACCAAGAGGAUGCAUUGAGAACUUAGAUUAAAUACAAGCACCAUGAUAGCAACAAUCCAUAGGAAAAGCUUUAGGUGAAAUCCAAACCAAAAUAGCUCAAUGAAGAAAUCAUGGGUAGAAAAUAUCUCAUGAUCAAAGAAUUAGUGGAUUUAAUUAUCUCAUUCUUGAAAGGAAAUAUCUUCGAGGCUCCUACACUAACAAGAAUGCUAUAAUACCACCUCAAAGGAUAACGGAAGAACAAUUGCACAUAUAAAUGCAAGAAAAAUGAUACUUGAGGUUCUCCAACAAGAGUCUUGAAGAACAUUUGAGAAUGGAUUGAAACCUUGAUGAACCACCAAGAAGGACCUCCGUAUGAAUGAUGCAACGAUAAGAAGGUAGAAACGAAUAAGAUUAUGACCUUGCCAAAAUUUAGAUGAAGCUUCACAAAGAGAUACUAAAAGAACUUAGAACUCCGGAAAAGAAAGAUAAGCACGUGAGAAAAGAAUUGAAACUAUGAGCCACUCCGGAAGAAGAAAUCAGAUUACUAUGAUCAAGAAUAAGAGUUAUGUUAUGCUUAUCCUUCAUCAAGUUUAAUAGAUGACAAGCAGCGGAUUUAGCAUACAACUUAUUCUUCUUGAAAUGAAUCUUGAAGAGGCAGAGAGAUAAGCACCACUUGAGGCAUAAUUGAAGGAAGCACUGGUAAGAAUUCACACUUGAAUGGGAAAAAGCAAGAAUUAAUGGAGAUACAUGAGAAUGAAGAGAUCAUGACCCACCUGAAAGAAAACUUGAACAAGGCACCGGAUAAUCGAGAGACGGAUGAAGAGACAACAAAUGAGAAGAAUUGAGGAUGAAAGCUGAAAGUUGAGAACGAAGAAUCUUCUAAAAUGAUGGCCUUCGGAGGAACGAGAAUAAAAACAACUCAGAAAUGCACCGGAUAGCCAGAAACAGAUUCUCAUGAUUGGAAACAAAUUCAAGAUGAUAACACGAAGCUGAAAUGAUGAAUCUCCAAGAGAAUGGACCAAGAUUCAAGAGAAACACUCCGUCGGAUAGCAAGCUGAGAAUGAUCGAGAACAACACCAAGAAUUACUAAGACCUCCGGAAUAAUGAAGAAUGCAAGGUUGAGCCAAAUAUGAGAAUUAAUUCGAAUAGGUCUUGGAGAAGGUAUAUAACUGAUGAAAUUCAUACUUACGUCAUAGUUGAAAAGAAUUAAACAUCUCCGGAAGAUUACAAGAGCUAUAACAGAUCCUGGGAAAAACCUGUGGGUUAUGGGCCCACUCAAAGAAACCACCGUUGAAAAGGUUGCUAGAACGAGAGAUAUUGCAUCGGUACAAGAAAACUAGAUGAGGUUAGCACCUCGAAAUAACUAAAGAAUUGAGAACAAGAAUUCUGAGAUAACUUCAACGCUCCGGAUAGAAUAGAGAGAAAUGACAACAAGAAGAUAGACUGAUAAAAAAUUUCCAACAUAGGAAAGAAUUACAAGGAUGAAAAGGAUAUGAUGACACGGACAACUAAAUUAAAUUCACUGGAAAAAGAUAACCAGGUUGAAGGAAUGAUGAACUAAAACUCCUGAAAAUCUACACAAUGAAUCGCCGGGUAAGAGAGAAAAGAACAAACAGCGGUAGCACAAUGAAAAGAAAACUCGUGGAUGCAAAUUGAAUCAUUGAAGAAAAGGGUGGGAGGGCGGGGAAAAACAAAGACAACUUGGGACGGAUGAGACAAACUUCGAAAACAAAUGAGAGAUUGAUCUUGCAAAAUUGGAGAGGAUUGAAUUCACUUGAGGAGAAGCACACCGGUUGAAAAAGAAUUGACAUAACAACUCCGGUUGACAAAAGUUGAUAAGACAAUUGGUUGAGCAAAAGGAUUAGCACUCUCAUAUGAAUAUGAGAACACCGCUUAGAAAAGAUUUGAAAUCACCACUUGACCUCGAAGCAACUUAAAUUACCAUAUUCCAACAAAACGAAGGGUGAGGCUUAAGAAACAAGCCAGAACAAACUCAUGAGAAAGAUUUCGUCCGAUAUUUUCGUGGACAGGAUCGCACGGGCUCGAUUUUACAGUAGCCAUCAAGUGCAAGGCAGUGCACCCGACAUACGAAGCGUCCCCGAGUCGUAGCAAGCUACAAGGACUCUUUAAGACACAAUGUGUACCACUGUAAGUCGAACGUGAACAAACGAAUCCACUAGAUGUCGAACCCCAACCUAACAUCAUGUAUUUGUUGGAAGAUUGUCCUAUAAGCAACUACUUGAAUUCCCACCUAUGAAUUCCCGAAAUAUCUGGUCAUGCAAUCUGGUACACGGAUACAAGGAGUAAUAUCACGCAACUCCUAUACUAACCCGUCACCUGUAUCACAUCCGUCAACACAUGACCAGAAUAUCGGACCUUCAUCUACAACAGACCCUCGUGAUCACAACGAUACAAAGUAUGGCAGUACUCCCGAACAAUCUCCACGAGUACUGGGGACAUCGGGGUUAUCUCGCCACUACUAGUAUUGAAGCAAUUACGAACAUCCUUCGUUCUUAGAUACUAAGAAAUUUGAAUGAUAACGAUGUGCUCAAGAAUCCCCUGGAGCUCAACUCCCCUGAGACUUAGAGCAGAUAGGAGGCACCAAGACAGAACUCCGUCACAUCGGCAUCAUAUAGAUUCCAAGAAUAUUCGCGUGAUCCUAAAAAACAUUUGAGUGAGAAGAGGAGUAGAAUUAAAUUAUUACGUCAAGAUUCCUCACCAGAGCAUAGAAGAGGAGAAAAAAGAAUCCUACUCUCCGAAAUAUAACUAGACUCAAAUAGUUUUUCACUAGACUCGACUCGGCCAAGUUCGAUCAAUCAAGGGGGCUCCUAGGUCGGUACUGCUCUGAUACAAACUUGUCACGCCCAAGAUGCGACCCUAUCCUCAAUUUGGCACUAGGGCCUCGUCAGGGAUAGAAGCGCAUCUCGUCGUGUCGCAAGAAUGGAUAUCGGCGCAAGUACAUGUACUGAACAGAAGAGAUAUAUAUAUAGAGUUGGCUUACACUCGCCACAAGCUACAUCAGAGUCACCACAAUACAUUACAUAAACAUCAAGAGUAAGAGCAGGGUCCGACUAUGGACGAAAACAAACGAGAAAAAGAAAGAACGACGUCCAUCCUUGCUAUCCCAGGCUGCCGGCCUGGAACCCAUCCUAGAUCGAUGAAGAAGAAGAAGAAGCAACUCCAAAUGAACAAUCAACGCGCUCGCGUCAAGUAACCUUUACCUGUACCUGCAACUGGUGUUGUAGUAAUCUGUGAGCCACAGGGGACUCAGCAAUCUCAUUUCCAAAGGUAUCAAGACUAGCAAAGCUUAAUGGGUAAGGCAUGGUUAAGUGGUGAGGUUGCAGCAGCCGCUAAGCAUAUAUUUGGUGGCUAAACUUACGAGUACAAGAAAACUAAGAGGGGGAAGAUCUACGCUUAGCGGACGUGAACUACGGAUGAUCAAAUGAAUGAUCCUGAACACCUACCCACGUCAGACAUGACCCCACCGUGCCCUCGAUCGGAGGAAGAACUCACGAAAGAGACCGUCACGGUUACGCACACAGUUGGCAUAUUUUAAUUAAAUUAACUUCAAGUUAUCUAGAACCAGUGUUAAACAAAGUUUCCACGUUGCCACAUAACCGCGGGCACGGCUUUCCGAAAGAUUUAACCCUGUAGGGGUGCUCCAACUAGUCCAUCACAAAUUACCACAAGCCGCAUAGAAAUCCUCAAUCACGAAGGUCGCGAUCUCGUCGGAUUCCCUAGUGGAAAACCUCAACUCUGAGAUUACCCAAAGCAUCACCGGAAUUCCGAUGCACAAGAUAUCUCGUCAAAGGUAAAACUAAUCCAGCAAGGCCGCCCGACGUGUCGACGUACCCGAUAGGAGCCGCGUAUCUCGUUCUCAGGACACGACGGAUGGAACUAGAUACGAGUGCCAAACCUCGAGUUUCCUCGCGGUGGCCCCGCAGGCAGACCGUUUGGGACCAACACCAUGAGCACUGGCCCCCCUGUUUAUGUAAAAUUUCUCCUCGGGUAGCGCUAACUCCCUAUGCAAUUC
rnacentral:lncRNA from 1 species